AGAGUUUGAUCCUGGCUCAGGAUGAACGCUGGCGGUGCGCCUAACACAUGCAAGUCGAACGAAGGAUUGUGAAGGAACUUUACGGAGGGAAAACACAAUGACUGAGUGGCGGACGGGUGAGUAACGCGUAGGGAACCUGGCCCUUACAGGGGGAUAACAGAUGGAAACAACUGCUAAUACCGCAUAAGCGCCCAGCCUCGCAUGAGGCAGAGUGAAAAACUAAGGUGGUAAGGGAUGGCCCUGCGUCCGAUUAGCUAGUUGGUAUGGUAACGGCAUACCAAGGCGACGAUCGGUAGCCGGCCUGAGAGGGUGGACGGCCACAUUGGGACUGAGACACGGCCCAAACUCCUACGGGAGGCAGCAGUGGGGGAUAUUGCACAAUGGGGGAAACCCUGAUGCAGCGACACCGCGUGGGUGAAGAAGCGCUUCGGCGUGUAAAGCCCUAUCAGUGGGGAAGAAAAAGGACGGUACCCAAAGAAGAAGCACCGGCUAAAUACGUG
rnacentral:rRNA from 1 species